rnacentral:snRNA from 1 species
UCCUGAAGUAUUUAGCAAUUUU